rnacentral:rRNA from 1 species
GUCGAACGCUGGCGGCGUGCUUAACACAUGCAAGUCGAACGAAGUGGCGCACGGGUGAGUCACGCGUAAUCAACCCGCCUUUCAGAGGGGGACAACAGGUGGAAACGACUGCUAAUACCGCAUUCUCACGGAGGGGUUUGCGUCUGAUUAGCUGGUUGGAUGGGUAACGGCCCACCAAGGCGAUGAUCAGUAGCCGGUCUGAGAGGAUGAUCGGCCACAUUGGAACUGAGACACGGUUCAGACUCCUACGGGAGGCAGCAGUGGGGAAUAUUGCACAAUGGGCGCAAGCCUGAUGGAGCCAGGCCGCGUGUAUGAAGAAGGCCUUCGGGUUGUAAAAUACUAUCAUCAGGGAGCGUUACCCGCAGAAGAAGCACCGGCUAACUCCGUGCCAGCAGCCGCGGUAAUUC